rnacentral:rRNA from 1 species
UACGUAGGGGGCAAGCGUUGUCCGGAUUUAUUGGGCGUAAAGAGCGUGUAGGCGGCCAAACAGGUCAGCUGUGAAACUCGAGGCUCAACCUCGAGACGUCGGUUGAAACCGUUUGGCUAGAGUCCGGAAGAGGAGAGUGGAAUUCCCGGUGUAGCGGUGAAAUGCGCAGAUAUCGGGAAGAACACCCGUGGCGAAGGCGGCUCUCUGGGACGGUACUGACGCUGAGACGCGAAAGCGUGGGGAGCGAACGAGG